rnacentral:rRNA from 1 species
UACGUAGGGUGCAAGCGUUGUCCGGAAUUACUGGGCGUAAAGGGCGCGUAGGCGGCCACCGCAAGUCAGUUGUGAAAGCUCUGGGCUUAACCCAGAAAGGUCAGCUGAUACUGCGGGGCUAGAGUGCAGAAGGGGCAACUGGAAUUCUCGGUGUAGCGGUGAAAUGCGUAGAUAUCGAGAGGAACACCUGCGGCGAAGGCGGGUUGCUGGGCUGACACUGACGCUGACAGCGCGAAAGCUAGGGGAGCGAACGGG